rfam:Vibrio sp. JCM 19236 DNA, contig00025.
UCCACUCUGUGAUUCAGAGUUAUUAAUGAGUUAUCAAGUAAAAGUAAACCCCAGUAUUUCUGCGUUUCUGUCGUCAUCCUUUGUGUUUCUUAGCUUCAUCGUAACAUUCAAUAAUUCACAAUUGCAGCAUACGCGCAUUAGCGAACUAUAUUUUUUUUAAUAAGGUGACAUCAUGUCUAACAAAACUACUGGUACUGUAAAAUGGUUUAACGAAGAGAAAGGCUUCGGUUUCCUAACUCAAGACAACGGCGGCAAAGACGUAUUCGUUCACUUCCGUGCUAUCGCUUCUGACGGUUUCCGCACUCUUGCUGAAGGCCAAAAAGUAUCGUUCAUCGUAGAAGAAGGUCAAAAAGGUCUUCAAGCUGCUGAAGUAACUGUACUUUAAUCAGUUUUUGUAUGGGUGGCUCUAUGCCAUCCAUACUCU